UACGUAGGGGGCAAGCGUUGUCCGGAAUCAUUGGGCGUAAAGAGCGUGUAGGCGGUCCGAUAAGUCCGCUCUGAAAGCCCGGGGCUCAACCCCGGGAGGCGGGCGGAUACUGUCGGGCUAGAGUCCGGAAGAGGCAAGUGGAAUUCCUGGUGUAGCGGUGAAAUGCGCAGAUAUCAGGAGGAACACCGAUGGCGAAGGCAGCCCCCUGGGCUAGCACUGACGCUCAGGCCCGAAAGCGUGGGGAGCAAACAGG
rnacentral:rRNA from 1 species